rnacentral:lncRNA from 1 species
UCCCUACAAUAUUACCCCAUGAUUUGAUAAUCCGCCUUUCAUGUUGAAAGAGUGCUGGAGUAAACUCACCUCAUAUAUACCAGUGAAUAGUGUGGAAAUUUAAGGUUAUAACUUUUUGUGUUCAUCAUCUUUCACUGCAGCUUUCAACAUAUCCAAUAUGUGCUCUUGCUUGGGAAAUGUUGUAUGUUUAGCAUAAAAUCAGUUUUCACAAUGAUCUCAGAAUUUAAUUUCAAUCUGUGAAUCAAUGUGAAAACCGUUCAAUUGCUUUAUAUUUUACUCUUCCUAGAACUCCGCCAUUUCCAUAUCUCGAUCCUAUACUGGUUCCUGAAGUAGGUAAAAGUUAAUUAAAGAUACAAAAUU